CCACAUCACGUUGAAACGCCAGUUGCCAUAGGAUCACCAAAGUUAAGCAACAUCAAGCUUGGUCAGUACCUAGAUGGGUGACUGCUUGGGAAUGCCAAAUACUGCA